rnacentral:rRNA from 1 species
AGAGUUUGAUCCUGGCUCAGGACGAACGCUGGCGGCGUGCUUAACACAUGCAAGUCGAACGGUGACGAGGAGCUUGCUCCUCUGAUCAGUGGCGAACGGGUGAGUAACACGUGAGCAACCUGCCCCAGACUCUGGGAUAACAGUUGGAAACAGCUGCUAAUACCGGAUACGAGACGGAGAGGCAUCUCUACCGUCUGGAAAGUUUUUCGGUCUGGGAUGGACUCGCGGCCUAUCAGCUAGUUGGUGAGGUAAUGGCUCACCAAGGCGACGACGGGUAGCCGGCCUGAGAGGGCGACCGGCCACACUGGGGCUGAGACACGGCCCAGACUCCUACGGGAGGCAGCAGUGGGGAAUAUUGCACAAUGGGCGAAAGCCUGAUGCAGCGACGCCGCGUGAGGGAUGACGGCCUUCGGGUUGUAAACCUCUUUCAGCAGGGAAGAAGCGAAAGUGACGGUACCUGCAGAAGAAGCACCGGCUAACUACGUGCCAGCAGCCGCGGUAAUACGUAGGGUGCGAGCGUUGUCCGGAAUUAUUGGGCGUAAAGAGCUUGUAGGCGGUUUGUCGCGUCUGCAGUGAAAAUCCGAGGCUCAACCUCGGACUUGCUGUGGGUACGGGCAGACUAGAGUAUGGUAGGGGAGACCGGAAUUCCUGGUGUAGCGGUGGAAUGCGCAGAUAUCAGGAGGAACACCGAUGGCGAAGGCAGGUCUCUGGGCCAUAACUGACGCUGAGAAGCGAAAGCAUGGGGAGCGAACAGGAUUAGAUACCCUGGUAGUCCAUGCCGUAAACGUUGGGCCUAGGUGUGGGGCUCAUUCCACGAGCUCCGGGCCGCAGCUAACGCAUUAAGCGCCCCGCCUGGGGAGUACGGCCGCAAGGCUAAAACUCAAAGGAAUUGACGGGGGCCCGCACAAGCGGCGGAGCAUGCGGAUUAAUUCGAUGCAACGCGAAGAACCUUACCAAGGCUUGACAUAUACCGGAAACAUCCAGAGAUGGGUGCCCCGCAAGGUCGGUAUACAGGUGGUGCAUGGUUGUCGUCAGCUCGUGUCGUGAGAUGUUGGGUUAAGUCCCGCAACGAGCGCAACCCUCGUUCUAUGUUGCCAGCGCGUAAUGGCGGGGACUCAUAGGAGACUGCCGGGGUCAACUCGGAGGAAGGUGGGGAUGACGUCAAAUCAUCAUGCCCCUUAUGUCUUGGGCUUCACGCAUGCUACAAUGGCCGGUACAAAGGGCUGCGAUACCGCGAGGUGGAGCGAAUCCCAAAAAACCGGUCUCAGUUCGGAUUGGGGUCUGCAACUCGACCCCAUGAAGUCGGAGUCGCUAGUAAUCGCAGAUCAGCAACGCUGCGGUGAAUACGUUCCCGGGCCUUGUACACACCGCCCGUCAAGUCACGAAAGUCGGUAACACCCGAAGCCGGUGGCCCAACCCUUGUGGAGGGAGCCGUCGAA